rnacentral:rRNA from 1 species
CAUGCCUAACACAUGCAAGUCGAACGGAACCUCUUUAAUUGAUUUCUUCGGAAUGAUUUUGAUUAAGUUUAGUGGCGGACGGGUGAGUAACGCGUGAGUAACCUGCCUCUGAGAGGGGAAUAACAUUCUGAAAAGAAUGCUAAUACCGCAUAACAUAUAUUUAUCGCAUGGUAGAUAUAUCAAAGAUUUAUCGCUCAGAGAUGGACUCGCGUCCGAUUAGUUAGUUGGUGAGGUAACGGCUCACCAAGACCGCGAUCGGUAGCCGGACUGAGAGGUUGAACGGCCACAUUGGGACUGAGACACGGCCCAGACUCCUACGGGAGGCAGCAGUGGGGGAUAUUGCGCAAUGGGGGAAACCCUGACGCAGCAACGCCGCGUGAAGGAUGAAGGUCUUCGGAUUGUAAACUUCUUUUAUUAAGGACGAAGAAAGUGACGGUACUUAAUGAAUAAGCUCCGGCUAACUACGUGCCAGCAGCCGCCGCAG